GUUGGUUCUACCCGAAGAUGGUGCGCUAACCGCAAGGAGGCAGCCAGCCACGGUAGGGUCAGCGACUGGGUUGAAGUCGUAACAAGGUAGCCGUAGGUGAACCUGCAGAAGGAUCA
rnacentral:rRNA from 1 species